rnacentral:rRNA from 1 species
GGUAAAAAAAAGGUAAGCUACUAAGAGCGAAUGGUGGAUGCCUUGACUGGUAAAGGCGAUGAAGGACGUACUAGACUGCGAUAAGCUACGGGGAGCUGUCAAGAAGCUUUGAUCCGUAGAUUUCCGAAUGGGGCAACCCAAUGUAUAGAGAUAUACAUUACCUAUAUAGGAGCGAACGAGGGGAAUUGAAACAUCUUAGUACUCUCAGGAAAAGAAAUCAAUAGAGAUUGCGUCAGUAGCGGCGAGCGAAAGCGCAAGAGGGCAAACCCAGUGCUUGCACUGGGGGUUGUAGGACUGCAAUGUGCAAGAGCUGAGUUUAGCAGAACAUUCUGGAAAGUAUAACCAUAGAGGGUGAUAGUCCCGUAUGCGAAAAACAAACCUUAGCUAGCAGUAUCCUGAGUAGGGCGGGACACGAGGAAUCCUGUCUGAAUCCGGGUCGACCACGAUCCAACCCUAAAUACUAAUACCAGAUCGAUAGUGCACAAGUACCGUGAGGGAAAGGUGAAAAGAACUGAGGUGAUCAGAGUGAAAUAGAACCUGAAACCAUUUGCUUACAAUCAUUCAGAGCCCUAUGUAGCAAUACAGGGUGAUGGACUGCCUUUUGCAUAAUGAGCCUGCGAGUUGUGGUGUCUGGCAAGGUUAAGCAAACGCGAAGCCGUAGCGAAAGCGAGUCUGAAUAGGGCGCUUAGUCAGAUGCUGCAGACCCGAAACGAAGUGAUCUAUCCAUGAGCAAGUUGAAGCUAGUGUAAGAACUAGUGGAGGACUGAACCCAUAGGCGUUGAAAAGCCCCGGGAUGACUUGUGGAUAGGGGUGAAAGGCCAAUCAAACUUCGUGAUAGCUGGUUCUCUCCGAAAUAUAUUUAGGUAUAGCGUUGUGUCGUAAUAUAAGGGGGUAGAGCACUGAAUGGGCUAGGGCAUACACCAAUGUACCAAACCCUAUCAAACUCCGAAUACCUUAUAUGUAAUCACAGCAGUCAGGCGGCGAGUGAUAAAAUCCGUCGUCAAGAGGGAAACAACCCAGACUACCAGCUAAGGUCCCUAAAUCUUACUUAAGUGGAAAACGAUGUGAAGUUACUUAAACAACCAGGAGGUUGGCUUAGAAGCAGCCAUCCUUUAAAGAAAGCGUAAUAGCUCACUGGUCUAGUGAUUUUGCGCGGAAAAUAUAACGGGGCUAAAGU